rnacentral:misc_RNA from 1 species
CUUAAUCUUUGAGACAAGCAUAUGACUACUGGCAGGAUCAACCAGGUAGCAUUCCUCUUCGACGCAGCCCACCACGCAAGGACAAGCCAAGACGUGACAGACGAUCGUUUUGGAGAAGCGAGAACGCUUAAAUAGGGCAAAUGUAGGAUCUCAUAAGAACCAUGCCCACAUCACGUUCCGUAUCCGAGAGACCAAGCGAUGCUUCAAGGGCCACAUCGUCGACGCUAAGGCACCAACAAGGUGGACCACGAAGCCCGCUUCAUGGUUCAUCUCACGCCGAAUGAACGACGCAUGACGAAANGGGACGUCCAUAAACCCACACGUUACCAUCGAUUAGGUAUGCAACACACGAAACCCACAUGCUACUCAAGGCAAAACAAGCCUUGCCGCAAAACUGAAGAGGUUUGCACCAUGGACGUUGUUGCGCAAGCAAAGAGCCAUCCACGGUAACAAACCAAACACCACUCAUGCACCUUUACGGUCGACAUUCCCGAAAACCAGCCGACUAGAAGCGACCCGCAAAGCACGAAGGCUAAGCAAGCAACCAAGAGCCAAACCAACCCUCAGAAUGCAC